CUGGCCGUCCCGGCACCCGCCGAUCCCGCCCCGCCUCCUGCAUCCCCGCAGGGCUAGCCCGCGCCGGCUUCUCCUUCUAGAGGCUUCUGGCUGUUCGUGUUGGGACUUACCCAGGAGCUUCUUCCGGAUAGGCUUGUUCAGAGCUCAUUUAAUGAGCUUCCCACGCGCGCAUCCAUCAUGCGGAGCCCCGGGGGCCGCUGCGCUGCGGGGUGAGGGGGUCGCAGCUGCGUCGCCUGCGGGUCCCUGAACUCCGGGGGUUUCCAUCCUUCUCGAGGUUUCCAUGGUUACCCGGCUCCGGCUCGGAAAGAGAAGACUUGGCUUUCCCUCCACGCUGGGUUCCUGCUGCAGCGUCCCAGGCCCCGAUUUCUGCAGAGCAACGUUGAUGGAAGCAAAACCCUGACACCAAGUUUUACUGGAAACGCAAAGUGCCAGGUAGGGAACAGAAAACGAAGGCCCACAGGCGCGCGGCUUUCCCCAGCGCUUGAAAAAUCCGUGUUUACCUGAAAUUUCUAGCCUCAAAAAUAAAAUGCUGGUGCCACACGCCCGGACACAGAGCCGGCCUCACUGCUGAGCGUGAGUCAGGCUUUAAACAUCCGCCUUCCCUGGAACGUGCUGGUGGGCAUCGCUGUGCAAAGCAUGACACCUGACCCUGUGGGAAACCUCUUCUUACUCAUUUGCAGUGUCACUGAAAGAAACUUAUCUCCCAUGCCUGUUAACUGUCAGGUUAUCACCAAAGUUAAAGCAAUACAGCUCACUGAAGAGAAAAUGGAAAAGUGAGAAAUAGCGAAAAUGACGAUGCAGACGCCGCAAACUCAGCAUGAGUUUCCUGGAGGCAUGACACCGGAUAAAGUUUCGCACAAGUCGCUGAGUGCAGAGAGCCUGGGCCAGAAGGCCAGGCGAGGACCCACCCAGGCUGCUCCAUCCCUCCACCCUCGGUGACUGGCAACAACCUCUGGGCUUUCUACUACCUCUUGGCCCCCAACCCAGACCAAGCCACU
rnacentral:lncRNA from 1 species